rnacentral:rRNA from 1 species
CGAGAAGGUAGCUUCGGUUACUGGACAGUGGCGGACGGGUGAGUAACACGUGGGAACAUGCCUUUCAGUACGGAACAACGCCUGGAAACGGGUGCUAAUACCGUAUACGCCCUUAGGGGGAAAGAUUUAUCGCUGAAAGAUUGGCCCGCGCUAGAUUAGCUAGUUGGUAAGGUAACGGCUUACCAAGGCGACGAUCUAUAGCUGGUUUGAGAGGAUGAUCAGCCACACUGGGACUGAGACACGGCCCAGACUCCUACGGGAGGCAGCAGUGGGGAAUAUUGGACAAUGGGGGCAACCCUGAUCCAGCGAUGCCGCGUGAGUGAUGAAGGCCUUAGGGUUGUAAAACUCUUUCAGGGGUGAAGAUAAUGACGGUAACCCCAGAAGAAGCUCCGGCUAACUCCGUGCCAGCAGCCGCGGUAAUACGGAGGGAGCUAGCGUUGUUCGGAAUUACUGGGCGUAAAGCGCGCGUAGGCGGCUUGGCAAGUAGAGGGUGAAAUCCCGGGGCUUAACCUCGGAACUGCCUCCUAAACUGCCGAGCUAGAAUCCUGGAGAGGUGAGUGGAAUUCCUAGUGUAGAGGUGAAAUUCGUAGAUAUUAGGAAGAACACCAGUGGCGAAGGCGACUCACUGGACAGGUAUUGACGCUGAGGUGCGAAAGCGUGGGGAGCGAACAGGAUUAGAUACCCUGGUAGUCCACGCCGUAAACGAUGGGUGCUAGGUG